UACAGAGGGGGCAAGCGUUAUUCGGAAUUAUUGGGCGUAAAGGGCGCGUAGGCGGCCUGGCAAGUGGAUGGUGAAAUCCCUCGGCUUAACCGAGGAACUGCCAUCCAGACUGCUUGGCUUGAGACCGGGAGAGGUGAGUGGAAUUCCCAGUGUAGCGGUGAAAUGCGUAGAUAUUGGGAGGAACACCAGUGGCGAAGGCGGCUCACUGGCCCGAUACUGACGCUGAGGCACGAAAGCGUGGGGAGCAAACAGG
rnacentral:rRNA from 1 species